rnacentral:rRNA from 1 species
AAGACCUUGCGCUUUUGGAGCGGCCGAUGUCUGAUUAGCUUGUUGGUGAGGUAAAGGCUUACCAAGGCUUCGAUCAGUAGCUGGUCUGAGAGGACGGCCAGCCACACUGGGACUGAGACACGGCCCAGACUCCUACGGGAGGCAGCAGUGGGGAAUUUUGGACAAUGGGGGCAACCCUGAUCCAGCCAUGCCGCGUGAGUGAAGAAGGCCUUCGGGUUGUAAAGCUCUUUCAGCCGGAACGAAACGGUUACGGUUAAUACCCGUGACUACUGACGGUACCGGAAGAAGAAGCACCGGCUAACUACGUGCCAGCGGCCGCGGUAAUACGUAGGGUGCAAGCGUUAAUCGGAAUUACUGGGCGUAAAGCGUGCGCAGGUGGUUUUGUAAGUCAGAUGUGAAAUCCCCGGGCUUAACCUGGGAACU